UACUUCAUAAUCAAUUUGCUCUUUUGCUCUUUAUUAAUAUCUCCCCUUUUCGUAUGUAAGUUGAGUAUGAUUUAGUUGAUAGAAGUUAAAUAUUCUGAUGUUUUAUCAAUUUUGAAAGCUGAUCAGUAGAUCACUAGAUGUUAACAGGUUUUAUUGAACCUACAUUCAACUUUUGUUGUCUCUAGUUGAUAACAAAUAUUGCUAGUACUACUUAUUUUAGGGUGUGUGGAAAUAGGGUUUUGAAGAGAGAUGGAUGUGAAUCAAAUUUGGGGAUUAUUGGGGGUGUUGGUUUUCUUUAAUGGAUGUUUCAUCGAGGAGCAGAGGCACACAUGUGCCCAAGCUCAGAUUCCUAGAUUCAAGGAGCUGAAGACUGCUAGUUUUCCUUUAAGACUAGAAGUUGUAAAAAUUGGGUCGAUUUUGACCUUCGAUUCGAUCAUAGACAAAGCUGCGAAAUUCCCAGAAGAAUAUUUUGUUAAAGUUCUUCCUUUUUACAUAUUUUACCUCAAAGUGAGUUCAGUUUAGUUGAGACCCCAUAGAUGAAAUCCUACAACUGAGGUUUCUCUUUUGAAGAUGAAGCUUUUCUAUGCAGUAGAGGCGAUGAAGGCGGAGUAAGAGUUGACGGGGGAAUAUCGAUGAGGAGUCUAGGUUUGUGAUGGAGUAGAAAAAAGACCACAAGAACAUCUUUUUCCUAGAGGACCAACUAGUGAAAGAUGAAGGAAUAAAAGGAGUUUCAAGGAGGGAAAAAAGAGAUAUACAUAAUCUGGGUCUGUGUGCUUAUGAGAGAGAGAGAGAGACCUAUUUUAUUUUUUAAUUAUUAAAAAAACAAAUUGGUAUCAAUUUUUAAAAAAAAAGGGAGAUAUGUUUUUUCAGGUGCAAAAAUGGUCCCUUAGAAAUGAAAAGACAAAUAUACCCUCAUGUGGGAGGCACAUGAGGGGGUUAACAGCAACAACUUAACGGAAGUUAAUUCGGGGGACCCAUUGUAAAUACAAACUAGGCCAAAAGGACCAUGAAUCCAAAAAAGUCGAGGUUUGGACUGAAACCCCAAAAAAAAGGCAUACACAGGGACCAUUUUUGCAAUUUUGUCUUAAAAAAAUUAAAUUUAA